rnacentral:rRNA from 1 species
AUGGACAAGAACAACACGCUCCUGGAUCGCAGGAUGAUGGGGAGGUUCAAGAGAUUUGUUGACGAUAACGCGCUCAAGGAGUUGUUUCUGCAUGAACAAAAAUUCACGUGGAGCAACGAGAGGGAGGUGCCUACUCUCACUAAGAUUGAUAGGGCAUUUGUUUCAGUUGAAUGGGAGCUUGAUCAUCUGGAUAGCUUGCUGCAAGCUCUCUUGACUGCCUCAUCUGACCACUGCCCACUGUACCUCUCGUUGGAGGAGCACAUGGAUACGAAGAGAAGAUUUCGGUUUGAGUUGUUCUGUACAAAGCUUGAGGGUUUUUUGGAGGUGGUCCAAGAGGCCUGGACCUGUGAUCCUUUGAUUGUGGAGCCAUUUCAUCGUCUGGACGUUUUCUUGAGGAACACGGCAAGAGCUCUCACAUCUUGGGGCCAAAGGAAAGUGGGGAAUAUCAAACUCUAG